GUGAUCAUACCUGCGCAAAUGCACCGGAUCCCAUCAGAACUUCGCAGUUAAACGUGCUUGGACGAGAGUAGUACUAGGAUGGGUGACCCCCUGGGACGUCCUCGUGUUCCACC